rnacentral:rRNA from 1 species
AUUGAACGCUGGCGGCAGGCCUAACACAUGCAAGUCGAACAAGUGGCGGACGGGUGAGUAAUGUCUGGGAAACUGCCUGAUGGAGGGGGAUAACUGAUGGAAACGGUAGCUGAUACCGCAUCCCAUCAGAUGUGCCCAGAUGGGAUUAGCUAGUUGGUGGGGUAACGGCUCACCACGGCGACGAUCCCUAGCUGGUAUGAGAGGAUGACCAGCAACACUGGAACUGAGACACGGUCCAGACUCCUACGGGAGGCAGCAGUGGGGAAUAUUGCACAAUGGGCGCAAGCCUGAUGCAGCCAUGCCGCGUGUAUGAAGAAGGCCUUCGGGUUGUAAAGUACUUUCAGCGGGGAGGCGUUACCCGCAGAAGAAGCACCGGCUAACUCCGUGCCAGCCGCCGCGGUAAUAC